AGGGCCCAACCCGCACCCGCCCGCUCACGCGCACCCCGCGGCGGCGGGAGGCGGCCGCGAUCCGGGAACGGAGCUGCGCGGGGGGCGGGGCGGGGCGGCACAGCCCGCUCCCGCCGGGGAAGGGCUAAAGCGGGCCGGGAGCUCCUCCCGGAGCUUUUAAACAGCGAGAAGGGAGCCACGAGGAAGGCCGGGCGCUUCCAGGAUCUUGGCCGAAGCAUCGGGGCCGAGAGCGGGUCGCGCCGUUCGAACGCGGCCGCCCCGCGCCACGCCGACCUCCUCGGCCGCCCCCCUCUUUGUCGCGGCGUUGGGCACAUCAGGGUGUUUCUGUGUGUGUUUUGUAACAUCAGCAACACAAUCAGAUCCCAGACAUUACUAUUUAUUGCUUGGUGAGGAUGACACAGCCUUCACAGAACUGUCUGUUUGCAUCUCAUCAGCCUGAACAAGCCUGUUGGAGAACAGAAGCAGCUCUGGACUGGCUGCAACUGCAACAAGCAGACUGAGGGGAAGAGGUGGAGAAAGGCAAACCCUGGGAAUAAAUUCAGCAGAGAAAACUGGGAUAACA
rnacentral:lncRNA from 1 species